rnacentral:rRNA from 1 species
ACGGAUAUCUCGGCUCUCGCAUCGAUGAAGAACGUAGCGAAAUGCGAUACCUGGUGUGAAUUGCAGAAUCCCGCGAACCAUCGAGUCUUUGAACGCAAGUUGCGCCCGAGGCCUUCUGGCCGAGGGCACGCCUGCCUGGGCGUCACGCCAAACACGCUCCCAAC